CUCAGCCCCCUCAGCCGCCAUCAUGGCCGCCCGGCCCGGGGGGGGCUGUCCCCGCUGCCCCCCAAACUGCCCCUCAAACUGCCCCCUUCCCCACCCCCGCCUCUCGCCGUUACCCCCCCCGGGGGCCUCCAGGCGCGGUGUGUCGUCUCUCUCCGCCCAGCUCCGGGCCCCGCGGAGGGGAAGGAGCAGGCCCGGAGAGCCAAGGGCCUGGGCGGCCCUGCAGGCGCUGAGGUGGGUCGGUGCAACCUCAAAAAAAACCAAAACAAAACACCUUGGAUCCCUUCGCUCUUAAACGUUCGAGCUGCGCGACGAGGUACGGCGUUGGGAAGGAAGGAGGGGUGAAUUUCCACGGUGGAUGGUUUGUUGACUUCCUCCUGUCAGUGACCAGGCCCUCCUUUGACUGCCUCAAUGACACUCCUAAGAAAUCCAAGAAACAAUUAAACACAGGGCAAAAUCCUGGGUCAGCCCGAUGAGCCAACCAAACACGACUGAGCAAACAUGAACUGAACUCUUCAAAGUUGCUCCAACCUUAUUAUCAGGCACCUGCAGUGAUGGCUCUGGGUGUUUGCUAACAAGGCACCCUGGAUGUUGGCACCAGGGAUGACUAAAGGCACCAUCCAUUAGAAUACUGGUGAGAAACUAACAUUUUUUUGCCCUCAGAUACUCGCUUUGUUUGAUGGUGAGGUUUAGGAGUCUACACUCAGUUCAAACCUCAUGCUGAAUAAUAAGGAACUGAGAAAUAAGAAAAAAACUGAGCCUUGAGGUGAAAAUUUCAGCUGCUUUUAGCACUUCCACAGCCAUCUGGUUUGUGCAGUCGUUUAUUUUCAAGAACCACUGGAUGAUUUUACUUUCUGGUGUCUGAAAUGUUAAGCAGUGUGACCUUGAGGGCUGGAAACAUCCUCCUUCAACUGAGAUCAUCCCAUAACACCAGGCUCCCCAAAUCCUGCCUUUUCCUAAUCCAAUGCUAAUGCUGAAAAUUCAUCAGCUUUAUGAGGUUGUGGAACCUGUGGACACAGAAUAAAUCGAUUUUCCUCUAA